UCGUGCUGCCCUCUUUGGGCGUUUCCUCCCUAGACUUCGGGCCACCCGCAAGGGUGGCCUUUUUUCUUGUGACCU
rnacentral:sRNA from 1 species